UACGUAGGGUGCGAGCGUUGUCCGGAAUUAUUGGGCGUAAAGGGCUCGUAGGCGGUUUGUCGCGUCGGGAGUGAAAACCCAGGGCUUAACCCUGGGCUGGCUUUCGAUACGGGCAGACUAGAGGUAUGCAGGGGAGAACGGAAUUCCUGGUGUAGCGGUGAAAUGCGUAGAUAUCAGUCGGAACACCGGUGGCGAAGGCGGCUUCUUGGGCCGUUCCUGACGCUGAUGCGCGAAAGCUGGGGGAGCGAACGGG
rnacentral:rRNA from 1 species